UUAACUCGUUAUAUCUUGUGUGUCUGUUUUACUAAAAUAUUUGUCUUUUAUUUGGUUGACGAAACAAGUUUAGCUGCCACGAGCUUUGGCUCCUGAUAUGUGAUCCAGAUGGGAACCAUCUAUACUGUACACAAUUCGGUAGUGCUUCUUUGGGCUAUAACAUGGAGUAUACGUGUCAAGUCAGAUGCUGUCAUAAACCUCCCCUAAAAGUCAUUUCCGGCUGCUGUGGGUUGGAAGGAGGUUGGAUGCAGAAGUUCAGUCCAAUGUGAAAGAGGAUCAAUUUGGUUAUUUAUAGUUGCGGGUAGGGGGUCAUGAUAUGCCUCUCAAACCAGUAAUGGUUCAUAUGGCAUAUGUGGAAACUGAACUUGACCUUUACGGAAGUCGUCUGCAUCUUGUGUGCUUGUAGAAUGUUUAAACAGUGAAUCUAAUAAGCGCUUGGACACCUGUAACUGUUCUCAUUCUAUUUUCUAGUGAUGGAAUGGGUCAUUGUAAGGGCGAUACAAAUGGCUACCUCGACGUGUCGUGAUUUGGGUUAAUCUGUUCUGCAGACUUGGGUCACAAUAAUGCUGAAGGAUUUCCACUUCAGUAUUGCGGGUACAGCAUGAUCAGAAGGAUGUAAAAAAGGUGGCUUCAAUAUAAUGGGGGAGUAAUGUGUUGGUUUUAACAUGGUGUUCCAUUUCCUUGCAUUAUUGUUUUGGUGCUUUGCGGUCUGCAGAUGGCUACUUGGUGAUCAUGAGAUGGGUCAGCUAAGUAUAUUUCAUUAGUUUAAAAGCUUUGGAACAAAAAAAGUUAAUAAACAGCAUGAAUAUACAUUCCUAUUGAAUUCUAAUACGACGUUGAAGGGAUUAGGUGUUGCUAAACAGAGUUGUGUAUCAGAUCUAUCAAUGCCCAUCACCAUUGUUGAACACUUCGAAAGCAUUUACAACGGGCAGUUGUCCUGCCUCGUGCAGAUACUAUAUAUACUCUCAAAUCCCAGCCUCAAUCUACUCCGGAGUCAGGGGUUUAUAGCCAAAUGGAUUCAAAAUAUCGUUUUUCAUGGAGUCAAGCUAUCUAUUCAAAAUCCAAAUAAGAAGUGUUCCACCUAUUUUGCAAGCAGUUUGACUAAACAAGUAAGGAUUGUUUGUGAUUUUGUUUGUUUCUCA